AGAAAACCUAAUCUCCAAUACAGAUCAGACAAUAAUACCCUUAUAAAAAACUCAAAAAUCCUCUCUCUUUAGGAGAUAUUGAUGGAAAUUUUCUAAUACACAAGGGUAAUUCGGUCAUCCAAUAAAUAUUUUGCUACAACUCAACUCCUUCCGGGCCUCGUUCUUUCGCUCCAAGCACGCAUUUUCCCUCUUUAUUUUCCUUCGCUUUCCCUGGAAUCCUCCUCUUGCUCUACCUCUCUCAAAUUUUGCAUAUUAUCCAUUUGUCUUCCAAUUUAUCAUCUUCUACAGCUAUGUUGAUCUCCAGGGUGGUUUUGUCGCGCUUAUCGAGGGGCGUGGGCCGAUGCUCCCUGCUUCUCCUUUCUCCUUCGCAGAAGCAGCAGCUACCAAUCUUCACCAAUCAGAUUGACUCUCUAGUUCAUGAAUAUCCUAAACAGUUUGUUGCAAGCCAGUUGUCUUUGUUUCAUCAUUCAGCCUUCAGUUCCUCCCCCUUUCAACGAUUUGGAUUUGCUUCAUCUGCAUCCCCUGAGCCUAAUGGAAAAGAACAGGGGAGCGG
rnacentral:misc_RNA from 1 species